rnacentral:rRNA from 1 species
CCUGCAUGAAGUUGGAAUUGCUAGUAAUCGCGAAUCAGAAUGUCGCGGUGAAUACGUUCCCGGGCCUUGUACACACCGCCCGUCACACCAUGAGAGCCGAUAACACCCGAAGCCUGUGAGCUAACCGUAAGGGGGCAGCAGUCGAAGGUGGGGUUGGUGAUUGGGGUGAAGUCGUAACAAGGUAUC